rnacentral:rRNA from 1 species
GACGAACGCUGGCGGCGUGCCUAAUACAUGCAAGUAGAACGCUGAAGGAGGAGCUUGCUUCUCCGGAUGAGUUGCGAACGGGUGAGUAACGCGUAGGUAACCUGCCUGGUAGCGGGGGAUAACUAUUAGAAACGAUAGCUAAUACCGCAUAAGAGUAGAUGUUGCAUGACAUUUGCUUAAAAGGUGCAAUUGCAUCACUACCAGAUGGACCUGCGUUGUAUUAGCUAGUUGGUGGGGUAACGGCUCACCAAGGCGACGAUACAUAGCCGACCUGAGAGGGUGAUCGGCCACACUGGGACUGAGACACGGCCCAGACUCCUACGGGAGGCAGCAGUAGGGAAUCUUCGGCAAUGGACGGAAGUCUGACCGAGCAACGCCGCGUGAGUGAAGAAGGUUUUCGGAUCGUAAAGCUCUGUUGUAAGAGAAGAACGAGUGUGAGAGUGGAAAGUUCACACUGUGACGGUAUCUUACCAGAAAGGGACGGCUAACUACGUGCCAGCAGCCGCGGUAAUACGUAGGUCCCGAGCGUUGUCCGGAUUUAUUGGGCGUAAAGCGAGCGCAGGCGGUUAGAUAAGUCUGAAGUUAAAGGCUGUGGCUUAACCAUAGUACGCUUUGGAAACUGUUUAACUUGAGUGCAAGAGGGGAGAGUGGAAUUCCAUGUGUAGCGGUGAAAUGCGUAGAUAUAUGGAGGAACACCGGUGGCGAAAGCGGCUCUCUGGCUUGUAACUGACGCUGAGGCUCGAAAGCGUGGGGAGCAAACAGG